GAGGGUAUAGCUCAGUGGUAGAACUCAUGCCUAGCAUGCAAGAGGUCUUGGGUUCAAUCCCCAGUGCCUCCA
rnacentral:tRNA from 1 species